UACGAGGGGGGCAAGCGUUGUUCGGAAUUAUUGGGCGUAAAGGGCGCGUAGGCGGUGCGGUAAGUCUGAUGUGAAAUCUCCGGGCUCAACUCGGAGUCUGCAUCAGAAACUGCCGUGCUCGAGUGUGGGAGAGGUGAGUGGAAUUCCCGGUGUAUCGGUGAAAUGCGUAGAUAUCGGGAGGAACACCUGUGGCGAAAGCGGCUCACUGGACCACAACUGACGCUGAGGCGCGAAAGCUAGGGGAGCAAACAGG
rnacentral:rRNA from 1 species